ensembl:snRNA U6 U6 spliceosomal RNA
GUGCUCGCUUCGGCAGCAUAUAUACUAAAAUUGGAACGAUAUAGAGAAGAUUAGCAUGGCCCCUGCGCAAGGAUGACACACAAAUUCGUGAAGCAUUUAAAAAAAAA